rnacentral:rRNA from 1 species
UUAGUGGCGAACGGGUGAGUAAUGCCUAGGAAUCUGCCUAUUAGUGGGGGAUAACGAAUCGAAAGGUUCGCUAAUACCGCAUACGUCCUACGGGAGAAAGAGGGGGAUCUUCGGACCUCUUGCUAAUAGAUGAGCCUAGGUCGGAUUAGCUAGUUGGUGAGGUAAAGGCUCACCAAGGCGACGAUCUGUAGCUGGUCUGAGAGGAUGGCCAGCCACACUGGAACUGAGACACGGUCCAGACUCCUACGGGAGGCAGCAGUGGGGAAUAUUGGACAAUGGGCGCAAGCCUGAUCCAGCCAUGCCGCGUGUGUGAAGAAGGCCCUCGGGUUGUAAAGCACUUUAAGCGAGGAGGAAGGUCACCUUACUAAUAUUAAGGUGAAUUGACGUUACUCGCAGAAUAAGCACCGGCUAACUCUGUGCCAGCAGCCGCGGUAAUA